AUACGGAGGGUGCGAGCGUUACUCAGAGUCACUGGGCGUAAAGCGCGCGCAGGCGGCUUGAUAAGUUGGAUGUGAAAGCCUACGGCUCAACCGUAGAACUGCAUCCAAAACUGUCAGGCUAGAGUGUGGGAGAGGAAGAUGGAAUUAGUUGUGUAGGGGUAAAAUCCGUAGAGAUAACUAGGAAUACCAAAAGCGAAGGCAAUCUUCUGGAACACUACUGACGCUGAGGCGCGAAGGCGUGGGGAGCAAACAGGAUUAGAGACCCGAGUAGUCC
rnacentral:rRNA from 1 species